rnacentral:rRNA from 1 species
UUUACGUACAACCCGCAUUAAGGUGAAACCGCGAAAGGCUCAUUAAAUCAGUUAUGGUUCCUUAGAUCGUACCCACAUUUACUUGGAUAACUGUGGUAAUUCUAGAGCUAAUACAUGCAAACAGAGCUCCGACCGGAGACGGGAGGAGUGCUUUUAUUAGAUUAAAACCAAUCGGCGGCAGUAGCGUUUCGGCGUUAUUGUUCGUCGCACUUUUUGGUGACUCUGAAUAACUUUUGGCUGAUCGCACGGUCUCGCACCGGCGACGCAUCUUUCAAAUGUCUGCCUUAUCAACUGUCGAUGGUAGGUUCUGCGCCUACCAUGGUUGUAACGGGUAACGGGGAAUCAGGGUUCGAUUCCGGAGAGGGAGCCUGAGAAACGGCUACCACAUCCAAGGAAGGCAGCAGGCGCGCAAAUUACCCACUCCCGGCACGGGGAGGUAGUGACGAAAAAUAACGAUACGGGACUCAUCCGAGGCCCCGUAAUCGGAAUGAGUACACUUUAAAUCCUUUAACAAGGACCCAUUGAAGGGCAAGUCUGGUGCCAGCAGCCGCGGUAAUCCCAGCUUCAAUAGCGUAUAUUAAAGUUGUUGCGGUUAAAAAGCUCGUAGUUGAAUCUGUGUGUCGCGCUGUCGGUUCACCGCCCGCGGUGUUUAACUGGCACGUCCGCGAUACGUCCUGCCGGUGGAUGUGGGAUCUUUGUUUACUUCCCCACUAUGCGUGUGCAACCUUCACCGGUUGUUACUGUAUAGUGCGGUGGGGUUUCAAAUGUAUCACCAUCCGACUCAAUAAUCCUGUCGCGGUGCUCUUAAUUGAGUGUCGAGGCGGGCCGGCACGUUUACUUUGAACAAAUUAGAGUGCUCAAAGCAGGCUAAAAUUUCGCCUGAAUAUUGUGUGCAUGGAAUAAUGGAACAGGACCUCGGUUCUAUUUUGUUGGUUUUCGGAACCCCGAGGUAAUGAUUAAUAGGGACAGAUGGGGGCAUUCGUAUUGCGACGUUAGAGGUGAAAUUCUUGGAUCGUCGCAAGACGGACAGAAGCGAAAGCAUUUGCCAAAAAUGUUUUCAUUAAUCAAGAACGAAAGUCAGAGGUUCGAAGGCGAUCAGAUACCGCCCUAGUUCUGACCAUAAACGAUGCCAGCUAGCGAUCCGCCGACGUUCCUCCGAUGACUCGGCGGGCAGCUUCCGGGAAACCAAAGCUUUUGGGUUCCGGGGGAAGUAUGGUUGCAAAGCUGAAACUUAAAGGAAUUGACGGAAGGGCACCACCAGGAGUGGAGCCUGCGGCUUAAUUUGACUCAACACGGGGAAUCUUACUAGGCCCGGACACUGGAAGGAUUGACAGAUUGAGAGCUCUUUCUUGAUUCAGUGGGUGGUGGUGCAUGGCCGUUCUUAGUUCAUGGAGUGAUUUGUCUGGUUAAUUCCGAUAACGAACGAGACUCUAGCCUGCUAACUAGGCGUUACUUCCGGUAUCCUGAAGGCUCGUGUCUUCCGUCGCCUGGCCUACUCUUGUGUCUUGUAUUAUGUGCAUUUCAUUUGGUUCGUCCAGGUCGGGAGCUCACGGUUUUUACUACCGGCGUACAUAUAAAUCUUCUUAGAGGGACAGGCGGCUCUUAGCCGCACGAGAUUGAGCAAUAACAGGUCUGUAAUGCCCUUAGAUGUUCUGGGCCGCACGCGCGCUACACUGAAGGAAUCAGCGUGUCUUCCCUGGCCGAACGGUCCGGGUAACCCGCUGAACCUCCUUCGUGCUAGGGAUUGGGGCUUGCAAUUGUUCCCCAUGAACGAGGAAUUCCCAGUAAGCGCGAGUCAUAAGCUUGCGUUGAUUAAGUCCCUGCCCUUUGUCCACACCGCCCGUCGCUACUGCCGAUUGAAUGAUUUAAUGAGGUCUUCGGACUGGUGCCCGGCGCGUUUUGACGUCGCCGAUGCGCUGGGAAGAUGACCAAAUUUGAUUAUUUAGA